GUCUACAGCCAUACCACCCCGAACGUGCCCGAUCUCGUCUGAUCUUGGAAGCUAAGCAGGGCUGGGCCUGGUUAGUACUUGGAUGGGAGAAAUACAACUUCAUGCACUCAAUAUA
rnacentral:rRNA from 1 species